AUUGAACGCUGGCGGCAGGCCUAACACAUGCAAGUCGAACGAGUGGCGGACGGGUGAGUAAUGUCUGGGAAACUGCCCGAUGGAGGGGGAUAACUACUGGAAACGGUAGCUAAUACCGCAUACCAUCGGAUGUGCCCAGAUGUGAUUAGCGUGUAGGUGAGGUAACGGCUCACCUAGGCUACGAUCCCUAGCUGGUCUGAGAGUAUGACCAGCCACACGGGAACUGCGACACGGUCCAGACUCUGACGGGAGGCAGCAGUGGGGAAUAUUGCACAAUGGGCGCAAUACUGAUGCAGCCAUGCCGCGUGUAUGAAUAAGGCCUUCGGGUUGUAAAGGACUUUCAGCGGGGAGGCGUUACCCGCAGAAGAAGCACCGGCUAACUCCGUGACAGCAGCCGCGGUAAUAC
rnacentral:rRNA from 1 species